rnacentral:lncRNA from 1 species
UUUUAUCAAUAUGGUGAUAACCUCUGCCAAGCGCUUGAUUGUCUCUUAAUUUAGUAAGAGACCAGAUAUCAAAAUAGGUACUGAAAGACAUACCAUGCUUCAUAUAGAUGCAAAAGGAGGGCAUAAAGGCCUUUUGUGGACAUGGACUGAACAAGCCAGGAGACUGAUAAUUCAAAGCAGAAGGAAUAGGACCACAAGCACAGAUUGUACCAGCUAUCAAGGAAACUGUAAAGAAAAUUCUGUGGCUGUUGGGGAACUGAGUGGAGCCCAAGGUGUGGAUGCUGGACACCUCCCCAUGACCAGUGGAUUACAGAGGAACUUUCAUCUCUAUGAAAAUACUUUCUUCCCCCUGCAGUGCUGUUGCCAGGGAGUAUGGGGGUCACUUUGCUUAGGUAACUUGAUCCCACAAAGUCUU